rnacentral:rRNA from 1 species
UGGGGAAUAUUGCACAAUGGAGGGAACUCUGAUGCAGCGACGCCGCGUGAGUGAUGAAGGAAUUCGUUUCGUAAAACUCUGUUCUAUGGGAAGAAAAGGACUGUACCAUAGGAGAAAGCUCCGGCUAAAUACGUGCCAGCAGCCGCGGUAAUACGUAUGGAGCGAGCGUUGUCCGGAAUUAUUGGGCGUAAAGGGUGCGCAGGCGGCUUUACAAGUUGGAUGUGAAAUAUUGUGGCUCAACCACAAACGUGCAUCCAAAACUGCAAAGCUUGAAUUAAGGAGAGGUAAGUGGAAUUCCUGGUGGAGCGGUGGAAUGCGUAGAUAACAGGAGGGAUACCGAUGGCGAAGGCGACUUACUGGGCUUAAACUGACGCUCAGGCACGAAAACGUGGGGAGCAAACAGG